AGAGUUUGAUCCUGGCUCAGGAUGAACGCUGGCGGCGUGCCUAAUGCAUGCAAGUCGAACGGGGGAGUGGCCUUCGGGCCAGUCCCUAGUGGCGAACGGCUGAGUAAAGCAAAGGUAACCUACCCUUAAGUGGGGGACAACCCUGAGAAAUCGGGGCUAAUACCGCAUACGAUCCUCCCAUUUCUUGGGGGGAUGAAAGCUUUCGGGUGCUGAAGGAGGGGCCUUUGUCCUAUCAGGUAGUUGGUGGGGUAAAAGCCUACCAAGCCGAAGACGGGUAGCUGGUCUGAGAGGAUGGUCAGCCAGACGGGGAAUGAGAGACGGCCCUGACUCCUACGGGAGGCAGCAGCAAGGAAUAUUGCGCAAUGGGCGAAAGCCUGACGCAGCGACGCCGCGUGGGGGAAGAAUGCCUUCGGGUUGUAAACCCCUUUUCUUGGUGAAGAGGAAGGACGGUAGCCAAGGAAUAAGCCUCGGCUAACUACGUGCCAGCAGCCGCGGUAAUACGUAGGAGGCGAGCGUUAUCCGGAAUCACUGGGCGUAAAGGGCGUGUAGGCGGUCCCUUAAGUUGGCGGUGAAAUCUCCCGGCUCAACCGGGAGGGGUCUGCCAAAACUGAGGGACUUGAGGGCGGCAGAGGAAGGUGGAAUUCCCGGUGUAGCGGUGAAAUGCGUAGAUAUCGGGAGGAACACCAGUGGCGAAGGCGGCCUUCUGGGCUGCCCCUGACGCUGAGGCGCGAAAGCGUGGGGAGCGAAGUGGAUUAGAUACCCGCGUAGUCCACGCCGUAAACGGUGGACACCAGGUAUAGAGGGUAUCGACCCCCUCUGUGCCGAAGCUAACGCUUUAAGUGUCCCGCCUGGGGACUACGGCUGCAAGGCUAAACUCAAAGGAAUUGACGGGGGCCCGCACAGCAGCGGAGCGUGUGGUUUAAUCGAUGCACACGAAGAACUUACCAAGCUGACAUGCCGUAGUAGGGACCGAAAGGCGACGACCCGAUUUAUCGGGAGCAGCCCAGGUGCUACAUGGCUGUCGUCAGCUCAUGCCUGGAGUGUGUGGGUUAGUCCAUAACGAGGCACCUCCCUGUGUUGGAAUCUACGGG
rnacentral:rRNA from 1 species